rnacentral:lncRNA from 10 species
CUGGAGUUCAGUGGCACAAUCACAGCUGACUGCAGCCUUGACCUCCUGGGCUCAAGUGAUCCUCCCACCUUAGCCUCCCAAGCAUCUGGGACUACAGGCACACACCACCAAGCCCAACUAAUUUUUUUUUUUUUUUUAGAGCUGGGAUCUCACUAUGCUGCCUGGGCUGGUCUUGAACUCCUGGGCUCAAACGAUCCUCCUGCCAUGGUCUCCAAAAGUGCUAGGAUUACAGAUGGAGUCUUACUCUGUCGGCUCACUGCAACCUCCACCUCCGGAGUUAAAUUGAUUCUCCUGCCUCAGCCUCCCGAGUAGUUGGGAUUACAGGUGACUGACACCAUGCCUGGCUAAUCUUUGUAUUUUUAGUAGAGACAGAGUUUUGCCAUAUUGGCCAGGCUGGUCUUGAAUUGCUGACCUUGGGAUCUCCCCGCCUCGGCCUCCCAAAGUGCCAGGAUUACAGGCCUGAGCCACUGCACCCAGCCAAUAUUUUAUUUUUUCUUGCUAUGGAGUCUCACUCUAUCACCCAGGUGGGAGUGCAGUGGCGUGAUCUUGGCUCACUGCAACCUUUGCCUCCUGGGCUCAAAUGAUCCUCUAUCCUCAGCCUCCUGAGUAGCUGGGACUACAGGCGUAUGCCGUCAUGUUUGGCUAACUGGCUAACACCACCUCUAUCUGGUUCCAAAACAUUUUCACCACUCUAAAAGGAAAUCCCAUACUUGCUAAGCCAUCAAUUCCCAUUCUCCCCUCUCUCUGCCCCUGCUAACCACAAAUAUGCUUUCUGUCUCUGUGGGUUUACCUGUUAUGGAUAUUUCAUGUAGAUGGAUCCAUAUGAUAUGUGACCUUUUUUGUCUUUCUUCUUUCUCUUAACACAAUGUUUUGAGAGUCAUCCAUAUUGUAGCAUGUUUCAGUAACUUUCUUCCUUUUUAUGGCUGAAUAAUAUUCCAUGAUAUGUCUAUAUUACAAUCUGUUUAUCCAUUCUUCUAUUGAUAAGACAUCUGGCUGUUUCCACUUUUUUGCUAUUGUGAAUAGUGCUGCUGUGAACUUGUGUGUACACCAAACUCUUUUUAAUAUCUAGUCAAAUAUGGCUCAAAUAUAGUUUAUGGCCAGAAUGCUUAUAAAUACUUUUGGAAGCAGUUAACUAUCUUCCUGAGCUGGAUUCAAUCAAGACCACUACACUGUUGUCUAAUCUCUGACUUUGUUUAUGUCUUUGUUUCUAGUUUUACUACUCAAUAAAUUGAGAAAGUAUAUAGAGUAUCUCCUAAUCCUUGCUGUGUUCCUGUAACCAUAUAAGUAUAAAACUAAAAUCUGACAAAGUCUUUAUAGUCAAUGUCACAUUCAGUCACUUAAGGAACCAUUAACAUCAGAAAGAGAAAAGACCGUGUUUUACAAAAUGUUUCCAACUGAUCAAUUACUUACUGGGAAGAAAAGUAGGGUGAAAGUGCCAGGCUAUUCAGAUCAGUUAGGGUAACAAAGAUGUAAAUAUUUUUCUUCUUUGAAUUGCAAUGGUGGGGAUCAUUUCUCUUCUUCAGUAUGUAAUAAUAUAAUAAAAACUGUUUUUUC